rnacentral:rRNA from 1 species
AUUGAACGCUGGCGGCAGGCCUAACACAUGCAAGUCGAGCGGAUGAAGGGAGCUUGCUCCUGGAUUCAGCGGCGGACGGGUGAGUAAUGCCUAGGAAUCUGCCUGGUAGUGGGGGAUAACGUCCGGAAACGGGCGCUAAUACCGCAUACGUCCUGAGGGAGAAAGUGGGGGAUCUUCGGACCUCACGCUAUCAGAUGAGCCUAGGUCGGAUUAGCUAGUUGGUGGGGUAAAGGCCUACCAAGGCGACGAUCCGUAACUGGUCUGAGAGGAUGAUCAGUCACACUGGAACUGAGACACGGUCCAGACUCCUACGGGAGGCAGCAGUGGGGAAUAUUGGACAAUGGGCGAAAGCCUGAUCCAGCCAUGCCGCGUGGGUGAAGAAGGUCUUCGGAUUGUAAAGCACUUUAAGUUGGAGGAAGGGCAGUAAGUUAAUACCUUGCUGUUUUGACGUUACCAACAGAAUAAGCACCGGCUAACUUCGUG